rnacentral:rRNA from 1 species
CAGCGCCACGGUAAUACGUAGGGUGCGAGCGUUAGUCGGAAUUACUGGGCGUAAAGCGUGCGCAGGCGGUCGUGUAAGACAGGUGUGAAAUCCCCGGGCUUAACCUGGGAACUGCAUUUGUGACUGGCGAGCUAGAGUAUGGCAGAGGGGGGUAGAAUUCCACGUGUAGCAGUGAAAUGCGUAGAGAUGUGGAGGAAUACCGAUGGCGAAGGCAGCCCCCUGGGCCAAUACUGACGCUCAUGCACGAAAGCGUGGGGAGCAAACAGGAUUAGAUACCCCCGUAGUCCCUGUCUCUUAUACA